rnacentral:piRNA from 1 species
UGCGCCAACCUUGUGCAGCAGCGGCUC